CUCUUUCCUUCCAAAGGCUCCCCUGCACUCUGCUGGGUCCCGCAGAAGGCAGCCCGGCAGGCACCUCAGCUUCCUGUGUCACGCUGCCUGCAGUUGCAAGGUCAGAAACCACAGCCCCUCCCCCAGGACCCACGCAAGGCCUAGGGCCCUGGAGUGGGCUCAGAUCAGUGGGCGGGCCGCUGGCCCUCACUGGAGUCCUGUGAGAGGGUGAGUCACAGGUAGCCUUUACUCGACAAAGCUUAAGGCCCUUGUUUCCCUCUGUACCACCUAAUCUUUCAAAAUCACUUGCUUCUUAACAGCCCUCUGAGUUUCUGCCUGCAGCAGCUCUUCAGCUGCUCCCCGGGGGCGGGGGCGGGAAAGCUGGCUUCGAGAGGCCCGCAGCUGUCCUGAACACAGGAAGUCCUCGGCUGCAUGGAAAAGAUGGGAAAAACAGCCCUGUGGUUAGUCAGGAUGCGUGUUUGAAGUUAACUCGAGCUGUCUUUUGUUGUCGCAAGGCACUCAUCUCCAUGGUCCUUCUUGUGCUCCCGGCUUAAAUUCCUUAAUGUUGCGGCCAAGACUUUGCAGUUUUGACUUAGUCCAGAGGAUGAAAGCAAGUGCUGCAAGUGUUGCUGGGAGGCCUGGAUACAGGAAAGCAGGGAAAGGUGCAGUGCCACUGAGCUGAAUCCUUGGGUGUACUAAGGAUUUUAUUUCCAGCUAUCACCUGAUGAGGCCCAGAGAAGUUCCUGCAAAGAGGCAAUGGAGAUGUUAACUCACCCUCACCCAUAGAGUAGGAUCUUGACUCAUCAUGGAAAAGAAUUGCAGGACUUGUCGAUGACAGGCAUAAACAGAUUUAUUAGGCAGAGACUUAGGAAUUUUGCAGAAAGUUUCCUGGAAGGCAAAAAGAAAGAAAAGAAAAGAAGAGAAGAGAAGAAAAGAUCUUGUGCAACUUAAUAUUCUGUGUCCUGAAGCUACAGUUUUCUUAAAAGUACAAUUUUUUUUAAAUUUUAUUUUAUUGGUACAUUUU